rnacentral:rRNA from 1 species
AGCGGCGGACGGGUGAGUAACGCGUGGGUAACCUGCCUCAUACAGGGGGAUAACAGUUAGAAAUGACUGCUAAUACCGCAUAAGACCACGGUACCGCAUGGUACAGUGGUAAAAACUCCGGUGGUAUGAGAUGGACCCGCGUCUGAUUAGGUAGUUGGUGGGGUAACGGCCUACCAAGCCGACGAUCAGUAGCCGACCUGAGAGGGUGACCGGCCACAUCGGGACUGAGACACGGCCCAG